rnacentral:lncRNA from 1 species
CAAGAAUCAUUAACCGAAGGGCAUUCAAAAGACCUGACAUCAUUCAAAGUACACGGAAGCUGGUUACUGGAAUGUGGGAUCUCUGACUACAUUUAUGGCUGAGGAAGUACUGGCAGCUCCGGGACAAGAGAGCCGGGGCUAACUUCCGGAGCUGGCUGGAGAGAGCUGAUGGCAGUGGCAAGAGCGCAAGAGCGUGGUCCGCCCAGCACAGAGAUGGGAACACUGAAG